rnacentral:misc_RNA from 1 species
UUUCCGUAGGUGAACCUGCGGAAGGAUCAUUAUUGGAUUUUGAAACUUCAGGCUGCUGCUGGCUCUCCUCGGAGGGCAUGUGCACGCUUGUUGUCCAUUAUUUCUCUCACUGUGCACAAAUUGUAGACCUUUCAGUAGGCCUAUGUUGUUUUUCACAAUCUCUGAAUGUAAUAGAAUGGUUUUGAAUCUUGGGAAAUACAAUACAACUUUCAGCAACGGAUCUCUUGGCUCUC